rnacentral:rRNA from 1 species
UACGUAGGGGGCAAGCGUUAUCCGGAAUUACUGGGUGUAAAGAGUGCGUAGGUGGUAUGGCAAGUCAGAAGUGAAAACCCAGGGCUUAACUCUGGGACUGCUUUUGAAACUGUCAGACUAGAGUGUAGGAGAGGUAAGCGGAAUUCCUAGUGUAGCGGUGAAAUGCGUAGAUAUUAGGAGGAACAUCAGUGGCGAAGGCGGCUUACUGGACUGAAACUGACACUGAGGCACGAAAGCGUGGGGAGCAAACAGG